UACGUAGGGCGCAAGCGUUGUCCGGAAUUAUUGGGCGUAAAGAGCUCGAAGGCGGUGUGUCGCGUCGGCCGUGAAAACCUGCAGCUUAACUGUGGGCUUGCGGUCGAUACGGGCAUCACUGGAGUUCGGCAGGGGAGACUGGAAUUCCUGGUGUAGCGGUGAAAUGCGCAGAUAUCAGGAGGAACACCGGUGGCGAAGGCGGGUCUCUGGGCCGAUACUGACGCUGAGGAGCGAAAGCGUGGGGAGCGAACAGG
rnacentral:rRNA from 1 species